rnacentral:rRNA from 1 species
ACGGGUGAGUAACACGUGGUCAACCUUCCCUACAGUGGGGGAUAACUAGCCGAAAGGUUAGCUAAUACCGCAUAACAUCUACGAGUGGCAUCAUUUGUAGAUCAAAGGAGCAAUCCGCUGAAGGACGGGGACCGCGUCCCCAUUAGUUAGUUGGUGGGGUAAUGGCCUACCCAAGACUCCGAUGGGUAGCUGGUUUGAGAGAGCGACCAGCCACACUGGGACUGAGAAACGGCCCCAG